UGGGAGCCUUCGGGUUCCCGGUUAGUGGCGCACGGGUGCGUAACGCGUAUGCAACCUACCUUCCACUGGGGGAUAGCCCACCGAAAGGUGGAUUAAUACCGCAUAAUAUAACUGGAGUGGCAUCACUCUGUUAUUAAAGCUUUGGCGGUGGAAGAUGGGCAUGCGUGCCAUUAGCUAGUUGGCGGGGUAAAGGCCCACCAAGGCGACGAUGGCUAGGGGUUCUGAGAGGAUGGUCCCCCACACUGGUACUGAGACACGGACCAGACUCCUACGGGAGGCAGCAGUAGGGAAUAUUGGGCAAUGGCCGAGAGGCUGACCCAGCCAUGCCGCGUGCAGGAAGAAGGCCUUCUGGGUUGUAAACUGCUUUUGUAUGGGAAGAAAACGCUCUUGCGAGAGUAACUGACGGUACCAGACGAAUAAGCACCGGCUAACUCCGUGCCAGCAGCCGCGGUAAUACGGAGGGUGCAAGCGUUGUCCGGAUUUAUUGGGUUUAAAGGGUGCGUAGGCGGCCCGUUAAGUCAGCGGUGAAAUCCCGGGGCUCAACCCCGGAACUGCCGUUGAUACUGGCGGGCUUGAGUUCGGUCGAGGCGGGCGGAACUGGCGGUGUAGCGGUGAAAUGCUUAGAUACCGCCAAGAACCCCGAUUGCGUAGGCAGCUCGCUGGGCCGAAA
rnacentral:rRNA from 1 species